rnacentral:misc_RNA from 1 species
UUGCCAUCAAUAAAUGGCUCCCCUAUAAAAGAUGCACCAUUAAGCUCAUGUCAUGCACUAUAUAGUGCUAAUAGCUAACAACAAACAAAAGACAAAAUGUGUGUCUUAGAUUCUGUAUGUAGCAGAAUCGGUUUGACCAGGUAGAGGGGAAAAGCAGGCACUAAAGCUCACUAGCCUAUUCAGUGUUUAAAACAUUUUAGCAGCGCAAUUCAGGAAAAGAAUUAGAAAGAACCCUAAGGCCCCAAGAUGCAGACAAUGCCUUGUGUAUCUGUAUCACUCAAAAAAGAAUGAAAAGCAGCCACCUUCAUGUCAUGUCAGGGCAUAUGACUUGUAUAAGAGCCCUGAAUUUAUUCUAUGUUAAAAAAGAAAUGACCUUGUUUGUUCAAUUAAUUUAUAGCAUCUGGCACAUCUAGAACUGAGCAUUGUGUUUUUAACAAACAACAAACCCAAUACCCAAUGAUCAAAGUACACUAAGGCAUCCUCAGUUCCUCACCCAAUGAUAUGAUUCAUACAUCAUUGUCUACAAAGUUCCACUGGCUUUACCCUUCCAGGUCUUUGUCACAACAUUAUUAGACUCAAUUUUAGAAUAUCAAUACAGCCAAGUGAAUAACAAAAUAUUCUUCAUUGCAUUUAAAAGCAAGAGUAUCAUCACUGGUAAGACUUGAAAAAUAUAAAGGACCUCAUUGCAAAACCAAUUCAUACGACAAUUGCAGUCCUCCAAAACCAGGAAAAAGAAAACUAAAGGUAAUAUGCACUAGAUAUCUUCAAUUCCCAGAUGAAUAUUUAAUCUACUGAAUACAGCAAUAUAAAUGGGUUUCUGCAAAACAAUAAUGUCAUGAAAUAAAAGAAAACAUCUUACCUCCAUAAUCUUUGUUCUUAACA